GCUUACAGCCAUACCAAACUGAGCACGGCCAAUCUUAUACGGUCUCGGAAGCUAAGCAGUGCUGGGCCUGGUUAGUCCUUGGAUGGGAGACCAACUGGGAAUACCAGGUGCUGUAAACU
ensembl:rRNA 5S_rRNA 5S ribosomal RNA